rnacentral:lncRNA from 1 species
CCCAAGCCACGCCGUCCUGCAGUUCUAUGAUCUUCCAGGACCCUCCUGUGCGGGUGAUGUCACAAUGAUGUGAUGACCUCACAGAGGCCCUGGGGUGGGGCAGGGGCAGUGGGUCAGCGCUGAACCUGCCGGCCCCAUUCUGCGGUUGGUUCUGGUCCAGCGAGGAGCUGUGCGAGUGGUGCAGCAAUGCGGGUUCAGUUUGGCAGCGGAAUAAUAGCGCAGCAGCGUGUGAAGCUGGUGCAGAAGUUGCUGCAGGCUCAGGAGUGGGCCGAUGAGAAGCGCAAGGCCAAGGCCAGGAGAUCCUUGCUGAAGGAUGCCCAGAAAUUACGGGCAGAAAGAACAGCUGCCAGGAAAGAGAAGCUGAAGCAGG